rnacentral:rRNA from 1 species
AUUGAACGCUGGCGGAAUGCUUUACACAUGCAAGUCGAACGGCAGCACGGACCUCGGUCUGGUGGCGAGUGGCGAACGGGUGAGUAACAUAUCGGAACGUAUCCAAUAAUGGGGGAUAACUAAUCGAAAGGUUGGCUAAUACCGCAUACGCCCUACGAGGGAAAGCUAGGGACCUUCGGGCCUGGCGUUAAUGGAGCGGCCGAUAUCUGAUUAGUUAGUUGGUGGGGUAAAGGCCCACCAAGGCGACGAUCAGUAGCUGGUCUGAGAGGACGACCAGCCACACUGGAACUGAGACACGGUCCAGACUCCUACGGGAGGCAGCAGUGGGGAAUUUUGGACAAUGGGCGCAAGCCUGAUCCAGCCAUUCCGCGUGAGUGAAGAAGGCCUUCGGGUUGUAAAGCUCUUUCGCAAGGGAAGAAAACUUAUCCUCUAACAUAGGGUGAGGUUGACGGUACCUUGAUAAGAAGCACCGGCUAACUACGUGCCAGCCGCCGCCGUAACAC